rnacentral:rRNA from 1 species
UGGGGAAUUUUGGACAAUGGACGAAAGCCUGAUCCAGCAAUGCCGCGUGUGUGAAGAAGGCCUUCGGGUUGUAAAGCACUUUUGUCCGGAAAGAAAUCCUUGGCUCUAAUACAGUCGGGGGAUGACGGUACCGGAAGAAUAAGCACCGGCUAACUACGUGCCAGCAGCCGCGGUAAUACGUAGGGUGCAAGCGUUAAUCGGAAUUACUGGGCGUAAAGCGUGCGCAGGCGGUUUGCUAAGACCGAUGUGAGAUCCCCGGGCUCAACCUGGGAACUGCAUUGGUGACUGGCAGGCUAGAGUAUGGCAGAGGGGGGUAGAAUUCCACGUGUAGCAGUGAAAUGCGUAGAGAUGUGGAGGAAUACCGAUGGCGAAGGCAGCCCCCUGGGCCAAUACUGACGCUCAUGCACGAAAAGCGUGGGGGAGCAAAACAGGAUUAGAUACCCUGGUAGUCCACGCCCCUAAACGAUGUCAACUAGUUGUUGGGGAUUCAUUUCCUUAGUAACGUAGCUAACGCGUGAAGUUGACCGCCUGGGGAGUACGGUCGCAAGAUUAAAACUCAAAGGAAUUGACGGGGUCAUAGCUGUUUCCU